rnacentral:rRNA from 1 species
GAUGAACGCUGGCGGCGUGCCUAAUACAUGCAAGUCGAGCGAACAGACGAUGAGCUUGCUCCUUUGACGUUAGCGGCGGACGGGUGAGUAACACGUAGGUAACCUACCUAUAAGACUGGGAUAACUUCGGGAAACCGGCUCUAAUACCGUAUAAUAUUUCGAACCGCAUGGUUCGAUAGUGAAAGAUGGCUUUGCUAUCACUUAUAGCUGGACCUGCGCCGUAUUAGCUAGUUGGUAAGGUAACGGCUUACCAAGGCAACGAUACGUAGCCGACCUGAGAGGGGGGUAGGCCGCAUGGGAGCGGAGACACGGUCAAGAGUACUAAGGGAGGGAGCAGUAGGGAAUCUGCCGCAAUGGGCGAAAGCCUGAAGGAGUAACGCCGCGUGAGUGAUGAAGGUCUUCGGAGCGUAAAACUCUGUUAUUAGGGAAGAACAAACGUGGAAGUAACUGUGCACGUCGUGACGGUACCUAAUCAGAAAGCCACGGCUAACUACGUG